rnacentral:misc_RNA from 1 species
GGGGAAACUGUUUUGCUGUUGUCUAACUCUAACAGAUGUGCCAAGCAAAUGGACUGUGUCUGAUCCAGAGAACUUCAAGAUGACAUCUCGCUUGCGUAUCUUAUCUGUCUGUCUCUUCAAGUGGUUAAAUCUUGCAUGUCUGUCAACUGGAAAAAUGUGAAGUCCAGCUACCAUUAGGUCAACCCCAGCAGCAGGACCCUGGACAUACACCAUCACUUUAGCUGCUUGCUUCUCAAUUCUAAAAGAUCCUCCAAUUUCAUGCCAUUGAUCAUCGCUAACCUCAACUUGGCCCCCAUUAACCCAUUGGUCGUCUACACCAAGGGCCACACUUACAUUCUGAGGGCCUGAUGCAUGUCUGACUUUA